rnacentral:rRNA from 1 species
UACGUAGGGUGCAAGCGUUGCCCGGAAUUAUUGGGCGUAAAGAGCUCGUAGGCGGUUUGUCGCGUCUGCUGUGAAAAUCCAGGGCUUAACCCUGGACCUGCAGUGGGUACGGGCAGACUGGAGUGCGGUAGGGGAGAUCGGAAUUCCUGGUGUAGCGGUGAAAUGCGCAGAUAUCAGGAGGAACACCGGUGGCGAAGGCGGGUCUCUGGGCCGAUACUGACGCUGAGGAGCGAAAGCGUGGGGAGCAAACAGG